ensembl:lncRNA
CCCAGAUAAUCACGAUGGUGUGAUCACUGACCUAGAGCCAGACAUCCUGGAAUGUGAAGUCAAGUGGGCCUUAGAAAGCAUCACUACGAACAAAGCUAGUGGAGGUGAUGGAAUUCCAGUUGAGCUAUUCCAAAUCCUGAAAGAUGAUGCUGUGAAAGUGCUGCACUCAAUAUGCCAGCAAAUUUGGAAAACUCAGCAGUGGCCACAGGACUGGAAAAGAAAAUAAUUUAUGACUGGCUCAAAGAUCCUGUUCCCUAUCAUUUAACUCUUCCUUAUUAGCGAUGAUACUUUAGAGGAGGCUUGCUGCUGUUGUUCAGUUGCUAAGUCACGUCCAACUCUUUGCGACCCUCUGGACUGCCGCACUUCAGGCUUCCCUGUCAUUCACGACUCUGAGCAGGCUGGUCUCAUCAUAACAUGCAAGAGAAUGUAUAGUUCCACCUUGGAAGUAUACAGAUAUAUAUAGUACAGAAAUCCCACCCAAAGGUUCAGGGGAAACGUCUAGAGGUCUAGUGGUCUGGAGCAUGUUGACACAUCCCUUAGAAGAUGAAGGAAAAAUGACUGCUGCAUCUGCCUCAUCCAACACGAAGAAAGAAGCAAACACCUUGUGGGUCUCUUUGGAUUUUUAGAUAAACAUGUAUCUCGUUUGGACUAUCUAUUCUAAUCAAUUACCAAAAGCUGCCUUGAAUAAGAGGAAGAGAAGGCUCUCUAUCACGUCCAGGCUGCCAAACAAGUUGCUCCCCAAUUUGGGCUUUAUGUAAGAGCAGAUCUGAUGGCUCUUGAAGAAUCAGAGGUAGAUAGGGAUGCUAUAUGAAAGCUUUGGCAGGUCCCUGUGAGUCAUAGCACACAGCUUUAAUAAUUUUGUGACAGAGCUUUGUCUUCUCUGCAGAAAACUCUCCUCCUUUUGAAAAGCCACAAGUACCUAAAUGCUUGAUCAUGGACUAUUAAGUCACUAGAGUUACCUACCAUGAACCAAGUGUUGACAAGAAGCCAAGUCAUUGGGUAGCAUUUCAUCACCACAUGACUGUAGUCAUACAAGAUCAGGCUCAGCACAGAGCAACCAUCACAGAUGCUCAUGCCCAUGUUUCUGCCUAAGCUGCUUCCUCCAUCUCAGUUUGUACCUAAGGUCUCUUGGGGAGCUCCCCACGACCAACUGACUCCAGAGGAGAAAAAUUUAUGGUCUGGUUUACAUGUGAUCUUGCACAAGAUGCUGGCAUCGCUCUACAGUGGAGAAAGCUGCAGGACUACAACUCCACUCCGGGGUAUCCCUAAAGGACAGUGAGGAGAAAUCCUUCCAAUGGGUGGAACUCGCAACAGCGCACAAUGCUGUUCACUUCUGCCUGGAAGAAGAGAUGGGCAGGGGCAUGGAUCUACUCUGAUCUCCUGAUCCGUAUGCAAUGCUUAAUGUUUGGAUAAAUAGUCAGAGACUCUCGAGGUACCCAAUCAGAAAAUUGGUAGCAAGACAGUGUAAGGAAGAGAUAUGUGAACAGAUCUCUCUGAUGGUAUAGAGAAUAUUAAGAUAUUUGUGACCUGUGUUAAUGCUCACCAAAAAGUGAGCAAAGGAGGAUUGUAAUAAUCAUGUGAAAAGUUGCUAUUCUGUGGAUGUCAGCUAGAAUCUAUCCCCAGCUACUGCUGUCAUUGCUAAAUGAACGCAGAAUGCAGCCAUGCAAGCAAGGAUGGAGGCUUCGCAUGGGCUCAGUAACGUGGACUGAUCUGCCAUGGCCACUGCUGUAUCUCCGCCCUGCCAACAGACAAAAUCUGAGACACUCCUAUGGCACUAUUCCCCUGGUAGUUUUGCCAGCCACCUACUGGCAGGAUGAUUACAUCAAACCACUUCCAUCAUGGUGCUUUAGGUUCACUAGAAUAGACACUUUCCUGGAGAUGGAUUUGCUGUCCCUCUCUGCAAUGCUUCUGCCAAAACCAUUAUCCGUGGAUAUACAGAAUGCCUUAUUCAGCAUCGUGGAGUUCCACACAGCAUCACCUCCAACCAAUGAGCUUAUUUUUGCAACAAAGGAAAUGCAGCAGUGGACUGAGAAUUCACCGGUCUCAGGCUGCUGUCUUAUCACCCCGAAGCAGCUGGCCUGACAGAACGGUGGAACGAUCUUGAGAAAACUCAGCUGUGGAAACAGCUGGACAGCAACGCCCUUGAGGGCUGAAGUAAUUUCUCCUAGAUUAGGUAUACUAUCUGCAUCUGAGACCAAAAUAGGGUGCUGUUUCUCCCACAGCUAGAACUCAAAGGGUAUUAACAGAAAUAGAAGCAUCCAUCCAUCAGCAUUUUUGCUUCUUAAUCCCCAUGAACUCAUGGAAGCAGAAAAGGGAAUGUAAUGG